AGUCGAGCGGCAGCACGGAGCUUGCUCUGGUGGCGAGUGGCGAACGGGUGAGUAAUAUAUCGGAACGUACCCUGGAGUGGGGGAUAACGUAGCGAAAGUUACGCUAAUACCGCAUACGAUCUACGGAUGAAAGUGGGGGAUCGCAAGACCUCAUGCUCGUGGAGCGGCCGAUAUCUGAUUAGCUAGUUGGCGGGGUAAGAGCCCACCAAGGCAUCGAUCAGUAGCUGGUCUGAGAGGACGACCAGCCACACUGGAACUGAGACACGGUCCAGACUCCUACGGGAGGCAGCAGUGGGGAAUUUUGGACAAUGGGCGCAAGCCUGAUCCAGCAAUGCCGCGUGAGUGAAGAAAGCCUUCGGGUUGUAAAGCUCUUUUGUCAGGGAAGAAACGGCAGUCCCUAAUACGGAUUGCUAAUGACGGUACCUGAAGAAUAAGCACCGGCUAACUACGUGCCAGCAGCCGCGGUAAUACGUAGGGUGCAAGCGUUAAUCGGAAUUACUGGGCGUAAAGCGUGCGCAGGCGGUUUUGUAAGUCUGUCGUGAAAUCCCCGGGCUCAACCUGGGAAUGGCGAUGGAGACUGCAAGGCUAGAGUUUGGCAGAGGGGGGGUAGAAUUCCACGUGUAGCAGUGAAAUGCGUAGAUAUGUGGAGGAACACCGAUGGCGAAGGCAGCCCCCUGGGUCAAAACUGACGCUCAUGCACGAAAGCGUGGGGAGCAAACAGGAUUAGAUACCCUGGUAGUCCACGCCCUAAACGAUGUCUACUAGUUGUCGGGUCUUAAUUGACUUGGUAACGCACUAACGCGUGAAGUAGACCGCCUGGGGAGUACGGUCGCAAGAUUAAAACUCAAAGGAAUUGACGGGGACCCGCACAAGCGGUGGAUGAUGUGGAUUAAUUCGAUGCAACGCGAAAAACCUUACCUACCCUUGACAUGGACGGAAUUCCGGAGAGAUCUGGAAGUGCUUGAAAGAGAGCCGUCACACAGGUGCUGCAUGGCUGUCGUCAGCUCGUGUCGUGAGAUGUUGGGUUAAGUCCCGCAACGAGCGCAACCCUUGUCAUUAGUUGCUACGAAAGGGCACUCUAAUGAGACUGCCGGUGACAAACCGGAGGAAGGUGGGGAUGACGUCAAGUCCUCAUGGCCCUUAUGGGUAGGGCUCCACACGUCAUACAAUGGUACAUACAGAGGGCCGCCAACCCGCGAGGGGGAGCUAAUCCCAGAAAGUGUAUCGUAGUCCGGAUUGUAGUCUGCAACUCGACUGCAUGAAGUUGGAAUCGCUAGUAAUCGCGGAUCAGUAUGUCGCGGUGAAUACGUUCCCGGGACUUGUACACACCGCCCGU
rnacentral:rRNA from 1 species